rnacentral:rRNA from 1 species
CCUACGGGGGGCUGCAGUGGGGAAUAUUGGACAAUGGGGGCAACCCUGAUCCAGCCAUGCCGCGUGUGUGAAGAAGGCCCUCGGGUUGUAAAGCACUUUCAGUGAGGAAGAACGCCUGGUGGUUAAUACCCAUCAGGAAAGACAUCACUCACAGAAGAAGCACCGGCUAACUCCGUGCCAGCAGCCGCGGUAAUACGGAGGGUGCGAGCGUUAAUCGGAAUUACUGGGCGUAAAGCGCGCGUAGGUGGCUUGAUAAGCCGGUUGUGAAAGCCCCGGGCUCAACCUGGGAACGGCAUCCGGAACUGUCAAGCUAGAGUGCAGGAGAGGAAGGUAGAAUUCCCGGUGUAGCGGUGAAAUGCGUAGAGAUCGGGAGGAAUACCAGUGGCGAAAGCGGCCUUCUGGACUGACACUGACACUGAGGUGCGAAAGCGUGGGUAGCAAACAGGAUUAGAUACCCGAGUAGUC